CUGGGUGCUAAAAGACAAUUUUUCUUUUUCUCAUUCUCCUAUUUAGUUCUAAGCCAACUACUAACUUUUUCUUCUUUUAUUCCUUAAUUUUCUAUUUUCCCUUAACAUAUAAUUUAAACAACCAAGAAUUCCUGCCUCACAUAAAAUGAAUUUACAAAGAAUUAUAUGCUUUCAAAGCAAGUAAAGAUACGAGUAUCAUACCCUGAUGGAAUCAAAUGGGCGAGUUUUU
rnacentral:misc_RNA from 1 species